rnacentral:rRNA from 1 species
GAUGAACGCUAGCGGGAGGCCUAACACAUGCAAGCCGAGCGGUAUUUGUUCUUCGGAACAGAGGGAGCGGCGCACGGGUGCGGAACACGUGUGCAACCUGCCUUUAUCUGGGGGAUAGCCUUUCGAAAGGAAGAUUAAUACCCCAUAAUAUAUUGAGUGGCAUCAUUUGAUAUUGAAAACUCCGGUGGAUAGAGAUGGGCACGCGCAAGAUUAGAUAGUUGGUGAGGUAACGGCUCACCAAGUCAAUGAUCUUUAGGGGGCCUGAGAGGGUGAUCCCCCACACUGGUACUGAGACACGGACCAGACUCCUACGGGAGGCAGCAGUGAGGAAUAUUGGACGAUGAGUUAGGGCCUGAUCCAGCCAUCCCGCGUGAAGGACGACGGCCCUAUGGGUUGUAAACUUCUUUUGUAUAGGGAUAAACCUACUCUCGUGAGAGUAGCUGAAGGUACUAUACGAAUAAGCACCGGCUAACUCCGUG